AUUGAACGCUGGCGGCAGGCCUAACACAUGCAAGUCGAACGAGUGGCGGACGGGUGAGUAAUGUCUGGGAAACUGCCUGAUGGAGGGGGAUAACUACUGGAAACGGUGGCUAAUACCGCAUACCAUCAGAUGUGCCCAUAUGGGAUUAGCUUGUUGGUGGGGUAACGGCUCACCAAGGCGACGAUCCCUAGCUGGUCUGAGAGGAUGACCAGCCACACUGGAACGUAGACACGGUCCAGACUCCUACGGGAGGCAGCAGUGGGGAAUAUUGCACAAUGGGCGAAAGCCUGAUGCAGCCAUGCCGCGUGUAUGAAGAAGGCUUUCGGGUUGUAAAGUACUUUCAGCGGGGAGGCGUUACCCGCAGAAGAAGCACCGGCUAACUCCGUGCCAGCAGCCGCGGUAAUUC
rnacentral:rRNA from 1 species